rnacentral:rRNA from 1 species
UUAAGUUAUGAAGGGCGCAUGGUGGAUGCCUUGGCACUAGAAGCCGAUGAAGGACGUGACUAACAGCGAUAUGCUUCGGAGAGCUGUACGUAAGCUUUGAUCCGGAGAUUUCCGAAUGAGGAAACUCAAUAGCUUUAACGAGUUAUUAUUGAUUAAACUUAGUUUAAUCAAAGGUAAACGUGGGGAACUGAAACAUCUCAGUACCCGCAGGAAAAUAAAGAAAUUUCGAUUCCCUUAGUAGCGGCGAGCGAACGGGGAACAGCCCAAACCAACGAGCUUGCUCGUUGGGGUUGUAGGACUGAACAUUUGAGUUACCAAAGAUUUUAAUAACUGAAAAACCUGGAAAGGUUUGCCAAAGUGGGUGACAGCCCCGUAAGUGAAAUUAAAAUCUCUCAGUUCAGGAUCCUGAGUACGGCGAUACACGUGAAACAUCGUCGGAAUCCGGGAGGACCAUCUCCCAAGGCUAAAUACUAACUAGUGACCGAUAGUGAACCAGUACCGUGAGGGAAAGGUGAAAAGCACCCCGGAAGGGGAGUGAAAUAGUUCUUGAAACCAUGUGCCUACAAGCAGUUAGAGCCCGUUAACGGGUGAUAGCGUGCCUCUUGCAGAAUGAACCGGCGAGUUAUGAUUACAUGCAAGGUUAAGAUGAUAAGUCGGAGCCGCAGCGAAAGCGAGUCUGAAACGGGCGUUUCAGUAUGUAAUGAUAGACCCGAAACCAGGUGAUCUACCCAUGUCCAGGAUGAAAGUGCGGUAAAACGCACCGGAGGUCCGAACUUGUGUACGUUGAAAAGUGCUAAGAUGAGAUGUGGGUAGCGGUGAAAUUCCAAACGAACUUGGAGAUAGCUGGUUCUCUCCGAAAUAGCUUUAGGGUUAGCCUUGGAGUUGAGAAUCAUGGAGGUAGAGCGACUGUUUAGACGAGGGGCUCAUCUUGAGUUACUAAGUUUAGAUAAACUCCGAAGCCCAUUGAUUUAUAUCCAGGAGUCAGACGAUGAGUGAUAAGAUCCACCGUCGAAAGGGAAACAGCCCAGACCACCAAUUAAGGUCCCUAAAUACAUGCUAAGUGGAAAAGGAAGUGGAGUUGCAUAGACAACUAGGAUGUUGGCUCAGAAGCAGCCAUCAUUUAAAGAGUGCGUAAUAGCUCACUAGUCGAGUGAUUUUGCGCCGAAAAUUUACCGGGGCUAAGCAUGUUACCGAGAUUGUGGACGUGACUUCGUCACGUGAUAGGAGAGCGUUCUAAGGGCAUUGAAGCAGGAUCGUAAGAACUUGUGGAGCGCUUAGAAGUGAGAAUGCCGGUAUGAGUAGCGAAAAACCAGUGAGAAUCUGGUUCACCGAAUGACUAAGGUUUCCUGGGGAAGGCUCGUCCUCCCAGGGUUAGUCGGGACCUAAGCCCAGGCCGAAAGGCGUAGGCGAUGGAUAACAGGUUGAGAUUCCUGUACUAGUUAGUUGUGCUUGAACGAUGGAAGGACAUAGGAGGCUAAGUUAUGCAUGCCGUUGGAUGUGCAUGUUCAAACUGUAAGUCAGGUCAUGAGUCAAAUGCUUAUGACCGGGUUGACAAGCAGUGAUGAGGACUGAAGUUUAGUAAGGAAGUAACUGACGUCACACUAUCGAGAAAAGUUUCUAGUGAGCAACUAAUUACCCGUACCACAAACCGACACAGGUAGUCGAGGAGAGUAUCCUAAGGUGAGCGAGUGAACCCUCGUUAAGGAACUCGGCAAAAUGACCCCGUAACUUCGGGAGAAGGGGUGCUGCACGCAAGUGCAGCCGCAGUGAAAAGGCUCAGGCGACUGUUUAUUAAAAACACAGGUUUUUGCAAAAUCGUAAGAUGAAGUAUAAGGGCUGACACCUGCCCGGUGCUGGAAGGUUAAAUGGAUGAGUUAGCUUCGGCGAAGCUCAGAAAUGAAGCCCCAGUAAACGGCGGCCGUAACUAUAACGGUCCUAAGGUAGCGAAAUUCCUUGUCGGGUAAGUUCCGACCCGCACGAAAGGUGUAACGAUCUGAGCGCUGUCUCAACGAGGGACUCGGUGAAAUUGAGAUACCUGUGAAGAAGCAGGUUACCCGCGACAGGACGGAAAGACCCCAUGGAGCUUUACUGUAGCUUGAUAUUGGGUGUUGACAUGACUUGUACAGGAUAGGUAGGAGCCGUAGAAACCGGAACGUUAGUUUCGGUGGAGGCGUUGUUGGGAUACUACCCUUGUUGUGUGGACACUCUAACCCGCGCCACUAAUCGUGGCGGGAGACAGUGUCAGGUUGGCAGUUUGACUGGGGCGGUCGCCUCCUAAAUUGUAACGGAGGCGCUCAAAGGUUCCCUCAGAAUGGUUGGAAAUCAUUCAUUGAGUGUAAAGGCAUAAGGGAGCUUGACUGUGAGACAUACAAGUCGAACAGGGACAAAAGUCGGACUUAGUGAUCCGGUGGUUCCAUAUGGAAGGGCCAUCGCUCAACGGAUAAAAGCUACCCUGGGGAUAACAGGCUUAUCUCCCCCAAGAGUUCAUAUCGACGGGGAGGUUUGGCACCUCGAUGUCGGCUCAUCGCAUCCUGGGGCUGUAGUUGGUCCCAAGGGUUGGGCUGUUCGCCCAUUAAAGCGGUACGCGAGCUGGGUUUAGAACGUCGUGAGACAGUUCGGUCCCUAUCCGUCGCGGGCACAGGAAAUUUGAGAGGAUCUAUCCUUAGUACGAGAGGACCGGGAUGGACAUACCGCUGGUGUAUCAGUUGUGCCGCCAGGCGCACUGCUGAGUAGCUAUGUAUGGAUAAGAUAAACGCUGAAAGCAUCUAAGUGUGAAACUUACCUCAAGAUGAGAUUUCCCAUUUCUUCGGAAAGUAAGAUCCCUGAAAGAUGAUCAGGUAGAUAGGCUAGAAGUGGCAGUGCAGUGAUGCAUGAAGCGGACUAGUACUAAUCGAUCGAGGACUUAACC